GAUCAUGGCUCAGGAUGAACGCUGGCGGCGUGCCUAACACAUGCAAGUCGAGCGAGAAACUUUUAAAUGAAACUUCGGUCGAAUUUAAAAGCGGAAAGCGGCGGACGGGUGAGUAACGCGUAGGCAACCUGCCCUUUGCAGAGGGAUAGCAUCUGGAAACGGAUAUUAAUACCUCAUAAUACUAAACUAUCACAUGAUAGAGUAGUCAAAGAUUUAUCGGCAAAGGAUGGGCCUGCGU
rnacentral:rRNA from 1 species